GCGGAGAUAGCUCAGUUAGUAGAGCACAGUGAUACCAUCACUGAGGUCGUUGGUGCGGCUCCAACUCUCCGCU
rnacentral:tRNA from 1 species